rnacentral:rRNA from 1 species
AUUGAACGCUGGCGGCAUGCCUUACACAUGCAAGUCGAACGGUAACAGGUCUUCGGAUGCUGACGAGUGGCGAACGGGUGCGUAAUACAUCGGAACGUGCCCGAUCGUGGGGGAUAACGGAGCGAAAGCUUUGCUAAUACCUCAUACGAUCUACGGAUGAAAGCAGGGGACCGCAAGGCCUUGCGCGGGCGGAGCGGCCGAUGGCAGAUUAGGUAGUUGGUGGGAUAAAAGCUUACCAAGCCGACGAUCUGUAGCUGGUCUGAGAGGACGACCAGCCACACUGGGACUGAGACACGGCCCAGACUCCUACGGGAGGCAGCAGUGGGGAAUUUUGGACAAUGGGCGAAAGCCUGAUCCAGCCAUGCCGCGUGCAGGAUGAAGGCCUUCGGGUUGUAAACUGCUUUUGUACGGAACGAAAAGACUCUUUCUAAUAAAGAGGGUCCAUGACGGUACCGUAAGAAUAAGCACCGGCUAACUACGUG